UUUAGUGUUAUCAACUGAAUUUCACCAUUUUUUUCAAAGUAAUGAUAAUCAAUUACUUAUCUGCAUGUAACUGAAUGAAUUGUGGGAAUGAACCUGCAUUGGAAUGAGAAGGAAAACUCAUAAUAUGGCAAUCUGAACUUUAUCGUUUCAUUUACAUUUUCAGGGAAUCAUCCAUUUGACUUUUGGUUCAUCUUUUUUUGAUAAGUACUGGUUUAAAUGCAGGGUCUCAUUACAACAGAACGGAAGGGUGUUGAUCCAGCAGCUGCACCAUUUGCUAAAGCCCCUUGGGAGAUCGAGGGUUUGGGACUUAGGGAGGGAGCAAAUCUCGUUAAAGUGGUAAAUCUUACUAGAGUGUUUUUUGGCAGCCUAUGUUGAUGCAAGGCUGAUAUAGAUUGAUAUUGUGUGGAAAAGAAACCUUCGGUUGUUUAGCUUGCUUCUUGGGUUAAAAAAGUCAAGCCUCAUAUACUUUUUGGUUUGUCUGGAGUUGGUGGUGUCUUCAAUGAGCAGGACAAAGGAGCAUACCUCAUCAAGAUGUCAUUUGUUGUCAUCACUAUCAGUUAAAUCCACUUGGCUCAACUCAACAAAGACCUAAUUUCAACCUCUUGGAAUUGACUACAUGAAUAUUUUCCCAAAAUGCUCUCUAUAGAACAAUACCUCAGUUAAAUCCAUGGCAAUUACAUUCUUUGUUACUGUAUCAACCCUCGUUCUUUUUUAAUUAUCUUCUUGUGUUUAACGGUACUUUGUUUACUCUACUUUUGUGGGUGUUUUUUCCUCAAUUUACUAAUCCUUUCAUGCACAAUUUUGGCCUUUUUUUUUUAAUUAAAUUACCAUUGCUGUAUAGGUAGAUCUCAUUCUGAAAUACCUACUACUUGAUAAGUAACUAUGGCUGGCUAUGUUUGAAAAACCAUUCUCCUUAGUGUCUAGCUGCAAGGCACUAAGCACAACAAUGGCAAAGUGUAUCCUCUUUUUGAGAUUGGUAAAGCGUAUGUCUUCUUUGAUAAAUUAGGUGCUUAAGGCCAUGCGAGAGUCAAAUUCCCCUAAACUUGCCAUUUUUGCGAUGUCAAAUCUGACGGUGAAUGGUUCGUCUUUCAAGCCUUCUAAAUUAUCUAUUUUUUGUUUGUAGAUGCACUAUUUUUCUAUUGAACAUUGUCUU